AGAUGGUGCUUGCAGAAAAGUCAUGUGAAUAUGCUGAAUGUUAAAAAGCCAUUCUGAAAUAUCACCUAUCAAACUCCCACUCAUUUGUCAUCAGGCCUGGAAUCUCUGCAAUGCAUACUGCACAUAGGUUUUAAUUUUUUUUUUAGUGGUAAAUUUUCCUAUAACCUGAACUGUUCCAGCAAGAAAUACUUAUCCUCAUGCACAACUUUUCUGUUUGUUUCGUAACAGUACCAACAUCUUUUCUGUAUCCAAGCAGAAGAGCAUUAAGGAAGAGAAAGUCACUUCUCUUCCUCUGCUGUGGACUUGGCAAGAAGCCACCUCAUUUAUGGUGCCAGGACAAGGAAAAUAGUAAUAAUACAGAGAAGAAUACAAAAGAACUACCAUUGUUUCACUGCAGUCCAUGCGAUAGAUAAACACGACAAAUUCCACUGGAAAGAGACAAAGUUGUAAGUUUCUGAAAAGCAGCAGAAGGUAAAGCCCAGUGAAUAUGAGGUAAAGAGAAGCUAUAUAUCCUAAUCAAUAGAGCAUUCAUAGCUCCUGUUUUGUGCAGCUUCCAGGUGCUGGGGCGAGUACAACAAUGUGCUUACAGCAGUAUGUUACAACACUGUUUCUUUUGGUGUUCUGUGGAUGUAUCCAUCCAUGCUGUAGGGCCAAAAAAGAUGUGCUUACAGAUCUGUUUGGGCUUCAGCAUGUACCAUCUCAUGUGGGGUCUGAGGACGUGUUUUGCCUGAGGUAAACACAAAAGGUGUUUUUAUUCCAUACAUACAGUCCUUAUAAAACCUGCAGUAGCUAAAUUCACUUUGACUAGUAUUUAGAGGAAUGGCUUGAACAACUCGUGAGUACAACUUGUCAGUGUUCUUGGCAAGCUCUGCAGGGCUGAAUUAUCAAAAACAAUUUUAUGAUGAUGACUAUACACUGACUAUACACUUCUGAGUGUGACCGGUGCAAGGUUUCUUUGCAGGCUGGCAAACAGGAAGAAUAACUCUGUUAACACUAGAUGAUUGCACUUCGGAAAGCUAAACCACUGCAGAUAGUUUGGGGUGUGUGUGUGUGUGUGUGUUUGUUUGUUUUCCUGAAAAGCAAUGUUUUUUAAGUCCAUUUAAUGCUGGAAAGGUUGGUAUGAAGUAUUGCAUUCUUUGCUUCUGCCUUCAUCUCUCCGUAAGUUUUGGCAGGUUUUUUGGAGGCAUAUCAGUAGAAGGUGAAUAUAUACAAGAAAUAUAUGCAUCCAUAUAUGUUACCCCUGGCACAGGGAUUAUAACUGUCUUUGUGAUGCAGUCUGCCUAACUGUCCUCCCAUCAGCUGUUUUACAGGCUGUAGUUUUUGCUGUGUUGACCACUGAUACUUUUAGGUAAUGAUAUGAGAAGAAGACAAGAAUGUAAUUUUGCUGUUUGUUGGUUUGUGGGUUUUUUUAAUAACUUUCAGGUUUUGUCUCUCUUCUACAUCAGUGAAUCUGGCAAGGGAAGAAUAAUCACAACACUUUUAUCUCACAGAACCCCCCAAAGAGAUAAAACCUGCUCACCGUAUAUGAGGCGGACAGGUUGCAUGGCACUAAUAGAGACAAAAGGGCAGAAGUGCCAAUAGCUGUCCUACCUGCAGGCUCUGCUUAAAGUUCUUCACUGUCAACAAAGUACAAUUUGAAGGUUUCCGUUUCUUUCCUCCACGAUGUCUUUAUAUCUGCUACAUCUCAGCAGUGCAUUAUUUUCCUUUUUGGCAUACCAGCUUCCCACUCCUGAGCCUCAAUCUUAAUACCAUCCACAAAAGUCGAUGAAGCAUGCCAAGUUCCAAAGCAACAUUAACAAAAUGUAAGUGCCACAUUAAGCUUUCACCAUGACCUUUAUUGUGACCCUUGUGUUUCCCCACUCUUCCUGGGUGUUAUCUCCUGUUGUAGUGUACCCUCCUCUGGGAGGAGCUAUCCCUUUUUUUGCUGUAAAGCAUUCUGCUCUGCCGUGAUGAAUAAAAAAUAACAACAGUGGGUUACAGUAUGCAUGGCAUGAAGGACGUGGCUGCCAGGAGCAAAGGCUUGAUCCUCGUGUUCCACAAAAAGAACAGCUCAGUGUAUUUAGCACAUUGCUUCAAUGAUUAAUCCAGUGAAUAAAGGUGGAGGGGUUUUUUUCCUAAGGCACAUGAAUAUUUUUUUAAAGUAAGUUCUAAUUCUGCUGGAGCAACAAAGCCUUAGAAUUCAAUUACCUAAUUUUUACUAGUCUUAUAAUGACAGGUGAUCAGGAAUGGAAAAAAAAACACAUAAAAUAGUGGACUACUAUGUCAAACAUAUUUUACUCAAAUAAUCUUUUUGGUAUCCAGGAGCUUAUCAGAAACCUCGUAUCAGGUACGGGCUGCUCUGGGCACAGCCUUUUGUUUCUUACUGGAAUGGUAUUCAAUUCAGUUAUCUGAAUUCAGACACUGCAAACAGAUGUAUAUUGCAAGAAGCAUUGGGUAUAGAUUUUCAUAAUUUGUAUUAUCAAACUUGUCCUUUAAUGUAGGGUUUGUCCCUUCGCUACAGUGUAGCUCUACCUGGAGGCUAUUUAGUAAACAGCUUUGCUGGACUCAGGCCCAUUGGACACUAUUUAACAUUGUUUCAGAAGACAAAAUCGGGGCCACCAGAUGAGCAACCGAAUCUAAAAGUGAUUUCAAAGUACAUUCUCUGGUGGUACAAUACACAUCUUUCCAAUUUAUGGUCAUGAGUGGAUAUCAGAAAAACAUGAAAUCAACCAUAAUUUAUCCAAAGACUGCCUGACUUUCAUGAACCGUGGGGACAAAUAAAAUGUGAAUACCUUCCAGAAGAAAACACUGUAGCUAGGUCUCAAAGGUAACUAAAAUCUGACUAAAUUGAUUUAACAUCUGUAUAGGUCAAUUUCUAAAUCAAAGCGUCAUUAGUGUAAUAUAUAUAACAGCUGUGGAGUUUCUGUUUCUGGAGUGAAAGAAACAACGUAAGAGCUAGAAACAGAAAGAAUAAUGAAAAAGAGUUGUUCCAACUGGGCUGUUCUAGGAAUUACAGAGUUUUAAAAAAUCAGCAUUGUAUUAAUAUUUUAUAUUUAAUCAGAGAUAAUUGGGUUUGGAUUAAGUACAUUUUUAUUCCAGUAUUCCAUUCUGAUCUUUCCAAAUGUAUGGUUCACCUUUAUUUACUUAAUAAUACAUAUUUUCCUGUAUAUAGGUCAUGGGAUUGAUAGUGGGAUAAUGACUGAUUUGAGUCUUUGUCUCUUCUCUAAGAGCAAAUAAAAGUUGAACAGUCUUAGGAUUUUUAGCUAUGUAUAGGCAAAGAGCACUCUACAAAAUUAAGUGAAAUUAUAAGACUUUGCCCCCAAGAACUGCAUACUGAGGUAAACAGGAGCAAGAAUUCUACUGCAAUUAUGUCAAUAGCAGUCAAUGAAGAGCUAACUAAUUUAAAAAAAAAAAAAAAGUUUGCAAAAGAAAUAGGGCUUUAAGGACUGAUAUAAAGAUGACAGGAAAGGACAGUGGGUGCUUGUUAAGAGGGACAUUGCCCCAGUCAAGGGGUUUGAAGACAGAGGGGAAUAAAACUCAUACUGGUGCUAUGGGCAACCAAACAAUCCAAUAGUGAUUGCAACCACUCCUCGAUCUAUUUUUAAAUAACCAAAGCGAGUGGCCUCUACCACCUUCUUCCAAGGUGUGUUUUAACAAACAACUGAACUGAUGUAACACCUUACAGCUGCAAGGGGGAAGAUCUCACUUCUUCCUGCCCUCUGCUGAGGUCCUCCUCUCACCCUUGUGCCUGCUCUGGUGCUUGGUGGCUCCCGGCUGAGUGAACUCAAGUCACUAACAUACAGAAAACUAUCCAGUCUUUUUGGUAGGUUAGUGAGUCAAAUGUUGACUCACUAGGGAGUACGAAAAAUACCAAAGCCCAAAGAAGUUAAAUGGUGGAGCCCAUGCCUGAAGGAAGGGGUAGGAGGAGGGAAUGGGAUUUUCUGUUUUCAGCAAUGCUGAGUGGCUACAUCAACAUCAUCCCAAAAGACUACUCUGCUGACAGAACACCAUAAAAUAUAGCUCUGUAGCCUGUGACACCUUGGUUUGAAGAUUUCUUUCUGACUUAGUUUCCAGUCCAAACUUAGCCUAUGGCAUUACCCUUAAUAAGAAAACCGAUGCAUUUUCACUUUGUGUUGUAAUUAGAGCUUUACUGGAUUAAAAAAAAAGGCUUGGAUUUGUUUUUACUUACACCGAAGUGCUUGUCCUAGAGCACAGUAAUAUGUAAUACUUAAUCUAACUGUAAAAUCUGAAGUGGACAGACAGCACUUGUAAUUCUACCACCAAGUAAUUAGGUGAUGUCAGCACACUCACGCCCUUGGUUAAUCUAGCCUCAUUUACCCUAUAAUAACAUAACAGUGCCUUGCCUUCAACCCAUUUUAUUCAGUGGCACAGGUAGCUCACUCUGUGUAUGUUGCAUUAAAGGCUGUGUGGGGGGGUGUAUGUGUGUGUGUGUGUGAGGUGACAAACCUGCUGACAUGUGGGAGAGUGACAGGGCACUUUAUCUUUUACAUCGCUUCAACAGGUAAACUCCCAGAAUGUAAAUAUUUCAAGACAGGACAUAAAGAGUAGGUAUACAGACAAGGUUUUUUUCUUUCCCCAUUAAAUUGGAGGUAUAGUGAGCUAUCAGAUACAUUUGAAAAUCCUAGUCUGGACAUGAAACAAACAUUUGUAAUGCUGAACCCCAGGAUAAACUGCAAACAUUUUGUGUUCUUUAGCAAAUAUUUGAAGAGUUACACACAGAUGAAUUAGGUAAUCAAAGAAACUGGAAUCAGUAGCAUGACUCAAAAUGGAUGCAAAACCCUAUGAUAUAGCUCUGAUUAAGCACUCUUUUGUGAUGCUUCUUGUACUUAGCUUCUUCUGGAACAGCAUCAGUGAUCCACCUGGUGCGUUUCCCUGUCCUGUCAUCCGUGUUUCCCAGUGGCUUGGGAACCUCUGGGGUCUCCAGCUGUGACUGUUGAAACAGGGAACCCAGACAACAUGUAUGCGAACCUUGGGAGACUUAGAGCUUUGUUCUGAUCCAGGAGAGAGACGUUCAUCUAAAACCAACCAACCCUCAGAACCAAUCUACCCUAAAACCAACAAGACAAAGUAGCACAGACGCUUCCGAAACAAGACUGCUACACUGGGACAGAGCUUCAUAAUGAAAGAAUUGCUACGAGACACUCUCUAUCUGGCCUUGAAAUAUAUGGAAAAGCUUUUUUAUUUUGCAAAUGAAAACAUUUUGUGACAGUAAUGUUGUGCAUGACUGUGGAGACCUCUGACAAAGCCAGCUGGCUUCUGGAAAAGGAAAAUCAGCGACUGCACAAGUCUGGCUGCUUGUUUCACAACUGUCACGCUGUUAGGCAAUAGUAAUAUGGUUAUUGCAUAUUAAUAGAAUAUAACACUAAUUAAAGCUUAUAUUAGCUAAAAGCCUAGUAAAUAAUCUAAUUUCUGAUUUCUAAAAGCUAGCACAUUUAAAUAGCUAAUGGAUGUUUAUGAUAUUUAGUAUGUUAUUAAGAUUUGAACUGUGAUACAAAUUUACACAAUCCAGUCAGUAAUCUACACUUAAAAAGCACUUUCAAUACGAAAGGAAUCAGUACAGUCUCCUGGGUAAAUAUUUUAAUGCAGGAUACACUCUCCUCCUUUACUACAGAAGCUUUCUGCAACACCAGCCAUUUUUAUGGACAAAAUGUAUGCAACUUCUUUAGAGGAAAACACUUCCGAAACAGCAAUUAAGACAGCUCUUCUCUGUGUCUGGGAUAACACAGUGAUGUUCACUGACAACACGGUAGAUGGAGGCUGCUACAAGUUUGGUUUCCAGUAAGUGUGGGAUGGGGAGCCCACAGCUCAUAAACAGGAAACAGCCCACAACUCAUUUUAAAUUCCAAUAAAUAUUUUGUGGUUUUACUGCCCUUGGGACAGUGUUAGUGUGUGAGCCAGGACAAGGUCUGUGAAACAUCUAUUUGCCCCGCAGAAAAGCUACCCGAGUUCGACAGCUAGGAUAAAGCCUAGACAGCCUGGCACACCGCUCACUGGCAACAGUGAAGCCCCAAUGUGGUGAAUCCCUCAAGAUGUGUAUAUUCCCAGGAGAAACCCCACAACCAUACCAAGAUCUUACUUUUGACAAUUGUACUGCAGCACUUGUACAAUGUCACCUCAGGGACCAGCAAUACAAGUACACGUGCAAACAGAUCUCCUAAAUCUAGUCUGAAAGUUCAAUAUGGAAACUCAAACACAAGUGUCCUUACUCUCCACAGGUUCCUUGCCAAAACAAGACUGGAAAGAGUUUUAAGAGCUGAUCACAUAUCCAGAGAAACACAAUAUAUAUUUGUAACUGCACAGAAGUUUUUUCUGUUUGUGUGUAUUUCAGGGGGAAAAGAAAGCAAGAAAGAAAGCAAGAAAGCAAACCAAACUGAAUGGAAAACUAAUCUGCUUAGAUAACAUCUUUUAUGGAAAUAGUCCCUGAACCUUUAUCAGCUGAGCCCUGUUACACACAGACUGUGGGGAAAUACGUAGGUGUUAAACCUGAGAAUUAACUCACUAAAUCAACUGAUUCUUGUGUCACUGGGUGUUGGCCUGGCUUGGGACGGACCCAUGGAGCAGCACUAAUGGUUGCGAAGUCGGGCUGUGACCAGAACCAGCUUGAAACAGUCUGAAAAAGGUUUAAAUAAAUGUGAGGGGUUUCGUUAGCUUCUUUCCUGCUGUUAAUACUGCCUUUUAUUGGUUGGUAUUGAAACAUGCUUUCUGGUGU